AACGCACAUUGCGCCCUCUGGUAUUCCGGAGGGCAUGCCUGUUCGAGCGUCAUUAUCACCCCUCAAGCCCGGCUUGUUGUUGGACGCGGCGGCGCCGUUUCGCGCCCCGCCCGUCUCAAAGAUAAUGACGGCGUCUGCGAGGACCCCUGUACACUGAGCUUUCGGGCACGUACUAGGCGUGGACUCCAGACCCGGUCACCGUCCCUUUUAGGGACAACUUUUUAACCAGGUUGACCUCGGAUCAGGUAGGAAUACCCGCUGAACUUAA
rnacentral:misc_RNA from 1 species